rnacentral:lncRNA from 1 species
GGCGUGACAAAGAUAGGACUAGAUUUUCUGCUGAAUUUGUAGAUUGGGUAGUCUAUUUGGCUGUGGCCCCAUAUUAAUGUAAAACCCUCUAGUCCAAAUCAUAAGGAUAUUUUUCUUUGUUUUUUUUUUUUUGUUUUUCAUCUAGGAGACUAGACUGGGAUUUAGGCUCAGACUUUUGGAUGAGCCCUUAAAAGAUUCCGAGCUAGGCAGACCAACGGGCCUGAUUCCUACAAGAUUAUUUAAACAUUCUCUUGGAGUUCAUCUAACAUGUCAUUUGGCAGAUCUAGAUUAUGUCUAAGUUUUCCAGCUAAAUCUUGUACCAGUUUUCUGCAAAAAUCCACUCACACUGUAAUUGAAAAUUCAAGACCCAUGCCCCCGCC